GGAGAUUGAAGUUCCAAAUUAUUUCAUUAGUUUCAAGUUCCCUGAAAUUAUUAAAGUCCCAAAUUAUUGUUGAUAUUUUGUUCCAAAUACGUUAGCCUGUAAUAGCAAAUCUGCUAGCGAACAUUAACGUUAGUUCAAAACAUUUUACUACUACUCUUUUAUGGGUUAGAUAUAGGAUUAUAUAGGAUUAUAUAGGUUAGAUAGGAUUAUAUAGGUUAGAUAGGAUUAUAUAUAGGAUUAUAUAGGUUAUAUAGGAUUAUAUAUAGGAUUAUAUAGGUUAGAUAGGAUUAUAUAUAGGAUUAUAUAGGUUAUAUAGGAUUAUAUAGGUUAUAUAUAGGAUUAUAUAGGUUAGAUAGGAUUAUAUAGGAUUAUAUAGGUUAGAUAUAGGAUUAUAUAGGUUAGAUAGGAUUAUAUAGGUU